rnacentral:rRNA from 1 species
GUAGGUGGCAAGCGUUGUCCGGAAUUAUUGGGCGUAAAGCGCGCGCAGGCGGGUUCUUUAAGUCUGAUGUGAAAGCCCACGGGCUCAACCGUGGAGGGUCAUUGGAAACUGGAGAACUUGAGUACAGAAGAGGAAAGCGGAAUUCCACGUGUAGCGGUGAAAUGCGUAGGGAUGUGGAGGAACACCAGUGGCGAAGGCGGCUUUCUGGUCUGUAACUGACGCUGAGGCGCGAAAGCGUGGGGAGCAAACAGGAUUAGAUACCCUGGUAGUCCACGCCGUAAACGAUGAGUGCUAAGUGUUAGGGGGUUUCCGCCCCUUAGUGCUGCAGCUAACGCAUUAAGCACUCCGCCUGGGGAGUACGGCCGCAAGGCUG